GUUAAGCACCUACGCCAUGCAAGUAAGUACGCCUAACUCGAACUAAGAGUCGGUCCACGUAAAGUAUCGGCCCCGGUCGAAAUACAAGGCCGUGUUUCUUACCAUCACGGCCAAUAGUUCGACCACGCCCGAACUGGGACUGAGGCUAAGUGCCACUACCAUCAAAUAAUGGCCACAAUUUGUUUACACCAAGUAAAAGAAAAAACAACAAACAAAAAAUGUGUGAAAGGCUAAGGCCAUCGUCGCCAACAGUCAACCUAGAUUCGACUAUGGUGAGUAAAUGACUCGACGACAAUCAAAAUCACCGACAUGUCUAAGGCCAUCAGUUCUAUCAUGGGCAAGGCCAUCGAUUACAUUAUGGCUAAGGCCAUUAUCGCCAUCGGUCGACCUAAGUUCGACUACGGUAAGAAAACGACUCGACGACAGUCCAAGUCGCUGACAUGGCUAAGGCCAUCAUCGCCAACGGUCGACCUAAGUUGGACUACGGUGAGAAAACGACUCAACGACCGUCCAAGUCGCCUAGAUGGCUAAGGCCAUCAGUUCUAUCAUGGCCAAGGCCAUCGAUUACAUUAUGGCUAAGGCCAUCAUCGCCAACGACCGACCUAAGUUUGACUACGGUAAGAAAGCAACUCGACGACAGUCAAAGUCGCCUACAGGUUUAAGGCCAUUAAUUAUAUUAUGGCUAACGUUGAGCCACCAACGGUCAAUCCAGAUUCGACUACGGUAAGUAAACGGCUCGACAACAGUCGAAGUCGCCUUUAUGGCUAGGACCAUCGACUCCAUCACGACUAAAGUUGUCAAUCUAAGUCCGACUAGGGCCAUCAAUGAUCAUGGUCAACCGAAAAUGCAACAAAAGGUUUAAGAAACGAAAGGAAAAACAGCAACAGCAAAAAGUCACAUUUCAUUAUCUCCAAAGGUACACAUACAUCUGGCCUUAGAAAAGGUCCCAUCUACAGAAAAAAUAUAUACAUAAAAGCCUUAAGAGCCUUCACCGCUCCUCCCAUCACGACCCGCCUGGUCGCCAUCCGGUCCAUUGCUGUCUCCAAGCUGAUAAGCCUUAGAAAUCCACGAACUGGAAUCCAAACUGUUGACGUCCUCAGAGUUAUAGCCCUCCCUACGAGGCGAGUCGAAGCAAUGACCGGCCGCUUCAUGAGCAACACAGGUUAAGUGUCAUUGCCUUUCAAUUUCCGCCUCGGAAGCUCAACCUGCCGCCAAAAACUCCUCAAAAACGACCAACCUGGCAUCAUGAUACACCCAAAUCUCAUGCGCAUCACGAUGCACAACAUCUUGUGGGGCAGUUUGCCUGAGAAAUUCAACUUCGACGGUCCUAGAAUCAAGCUCAGGUGCAAGGGCCGUGACCUGGGCCCGCAGUUUCGCAGCCUCCACCGCCACCUCACGGCUUAUCUCCAAGUCCUCCUCUUUUGACCAGCGGAGGGUCUCCAACUCGAUGUUUCGAGCCAAAGAAGCCAUCAGCUGCUCAUCAAUCUCCUUCAGCUCAGUCGUUCUCUUCUUCAAAAGAGCCUCUGAUUCCUCAAGGCCCUCACGGAACGUCCGGAACUAUGGGUCCUACUUAAGUACGCCCACCAAUGCCUGAUGCUUGGCACGAUCCUCUUUAUAUUUUUUGCCAUUUUUAUUGAAGGUGGCCGCCCUCUUUUGUUCAUGCCACCUCCUCUCCACCUCCAAGAUGAGGGUCUGAAAAAGAAGAGAAGAAACGUGUCAGUAUGUACCGAAAUCGUUUUUACGACUCAAACAAAAACUUGAAAGAUACAUG
rnacentral:lncRNA from 1 species